rnacentral:rRNA from 1 species
GACGAACGCUGGCGGCGUGCCUAAUACAUGCAAGUUGAGCGCUGAAGGUUGGUACUUGUACCAACUGGAUGAGCAGCGAACGGGUGAGUAACGCGUGGGGAAUCUGCCUUUGAGCGGGGGACAACAUUUGGAAACGAAUGCUAAUACCGCAUAAAAACUUUAAACACAAGUUUUAAGUUUGAAAGAUGCAAUUGCAUCACUCAAAGAUGAUCCCGCGUUGUAUUAGCUAGUUGGUGAGGUAAAGGCUCACCAAGGCGAUGAUACAUAGCCGACCUGAGAGGGUGAUCGGCCAAAUUGGGACUGAGACACGGCCCCAACUCCUACGGGAGGCAGCAGUAGGGAAUCUUCGGCAAUGGACGAAAGUCUGACCGAGCAACGCCGCGUGAGUGAAGAAGGUUUUCGGAUCGUAAAACUCUGUUGGUAGGGAAGAACGUUGGUGAGAGUGGAAAGCUCAUCAAGUGACGGUAACUACCCAGAAAGGGACGGCUAACUACGUG